rnacentral:lncRNA from 1 species
CGGAGGGGCUGCGGCGCCGUGGCGCCGUCCGCCGGGUGGAGGAGCGCGGGGCUGGCGGGAGGGAGCCAGCAGGCGGUGGGUCCGGUCCCGGUUGCGCCCGGCAGGGGCAGACAUCUGAUCACGCUGAACCCAGAGGCAGGCUUGGUGAAUUUUGGAGCUGCCCAUGUGCCAGUGUCAUUGUACUUGAUUAACAAGAGCUUUCACACAGAUGGGGAGGUGGGUGAAGUCUGCCAUCGAGCCAGCACCCCAGGGAUGCCUGUGGACCCACCCAAGGCAGCACCAGUGAGGAUCCUUCCAUGCCAUGGUGGACUCCAGAGGUGUAGGAACCCCCUUGGAUGUUACAGAAACAUGAUCAGAGCCCUCUCCACAUGUGGAAUUCUCCCUGAAGGUCUCAAAAGCUGA